CGCCGCCCUAGUCCAGCCGCUCCCGCCGCCUCUGGCUGGCCCCAUCCCGCCGCCGGCCCCACCCUCCGUCCUGCCCCGUUCGCCCCAUCCCGCAGCCGGCCGCCGGCCUCGUCGCCUCCGUUCGGCCCCGUCCGCCUCCAUCCCGACGCCGGACGCCGCCCCAGUAGCCUCCAUCCGCCCCCGUCCGCCUCCAUCCCUACGACGUCGCCACACCUGUCACCCCAUCCGCCGACCGCCGCACCUGUCACCCCCUCCCGUUCGUCCUCCGCCGGCGUCGCAAGAGAGAUGGAGUGUACAUGCAUGGUGCAGCUAAGCUAGCAUUACAGGCCACAGAUUUUGUUUCCUCUGAACCCAAGUUAACUGAAAUAGUCUAGCUAGCUUACUUGCAGUGCUGAAAGUCGCUCUUGCUUUACGCUGACUAAGCAACAGUUGCAUCGCCUCUCCUAAGCAAAGUCUAGGCUAACGGAUAGGAAUAGGAUGGUGAUGGAGCUUUCGAUGUGAUGAUGAGCGAGAGAAUCAUAAUACAUCAUUCGCAAAUAAAAAAUAAAUUAUUUUGUUGUCCGACUAUGAAUCUAAACUAUUUCAAUGUGAUAAUGAACUCUUCUUUUAUCCAAAAUAUUUUUGUUGUCCGACUAUGAAUCUAAACUCUUCAUUAAUCCAAACUCUUUUUGUUGUCCGA